UACGAAGGGAGCUAGCGUUGUUCGGAAUCACUGGGCGUAAAGCGCACGUAGGCGGAUGUGUCAGUCAGGGGUGAAAUCCCGGAGCUCAACUUCGGAACUGCCUUUGAUACAGCACGUCUUGAGUCCGAUAGAGGUGGGUGGAAUUCCUAGUGUAGAGGUGAAAUUCGUAGAUAUUAGGAAGAACACCGGUGGCGAAGGCAGCUCGCUGGGACGUUACUGACGCUGAGACGCGAAAGCGUGGGGAGCAAACAGG
rnacentral:rRNA from 1 species